rnacentral:rRNA from 1 species
UACGGAAGGUGCAAGCGUUAAUCGGAAUUACUGGGCGUAAAGCGCGCGUAGGCGGCUUGGUAAGUCGGGUGUGAAAGCCCCGGGCUCAACCUGGGAACUGCACUCGAUACUGCCGGGCUAGAGUACGAAAGAGGGGGGUGGAAUUCCAGGUGUAGCGGUGAAAUGCGUAGAGAUCUGGAGGAACACCGGUGGCGAAGGCGGCCCCCUGGUUCGAUACUGACGCUGAGGUGCGAAAGCGUGGGGAGCAAACAGG